rnacentral:rRNA from 1 species
CAGUAGCCACGGUAAUACGUAGGUGGCAAGCGUUGUCCGGAAUUAUUGGGCGUAAAGGGCUCGCAGGCGGUUUCUUAAGUCUGAAGUUAAAGGCAUUGGCUCAACCAAUGUAUGCUUUGGAAACUGUUAGACUUGAGUGCAGAAGGGGAGAGUGGAAUUCCAUGUGUAGCGGUGAAAUGCGUAGAUAUAUGGAGGAACACCGGUGGCGAAAGCGGCUCUCUGGUCUGUCACUGACGCUGAGGCUCGAAAGCGUGGGUAGCGAACAGGAUUAGAUACCCGCGUAGUCCCUGUCUCUUAUACA